UACAGAGGGUGCAAGCGUUGUUCGGAAUUAUUGGGCGUAAAGCGCGUGUAGGCGGCUUUGCAAGUCGGGUGUGAAAGCCCUCAGCUCAACUGAGGAAGUGCGCCCGAAACUGCAGAGCUUGAGUACCGGAGAGGAUGGCGGAAUUCCCCAAGUAGAGGUGAAAUUCGUAGAUAUGGGGAGGAACACCGGUGGCGAAGGCGGCGACCUGGUCCAUUACUGACGCUGAGGCGCGACAGCGUGGGGAGCAAACAGG
rnacentral:rRNA from 1 species